CCGCCGCAUCCUCCGCCCCCGCCUCCCGGCACGCUCCUGCCCGGCAGAGCUGCAUCUGGGCUUAGUUGUGUUAUUUGCCAUUAAAUCCACCCUCUUCUCCCCGCCUCCUGCCAGGGGACGCCGGCUCGCCUUCGCCCGCACCCCCUGCUUUCCCCUCUCCGGGCAAGCGCGGGGGCACGGCGCGGCGCAGCAACAAGGUCAUGUGCCAUCGCGACGAACAAAAGCCCUUCCCUCGUUAUUUAUUUAUGGCUUUGGGGCGUGUUCCCGAGUAUGAAUUCUGGCUGUCACUUGCUGGGUGGCAGCUGCAAGCAGAAUUUAUCCAGGCACAAAUCAGGCCAGGAACCUUCUGACACCUCUGGAAGCAAACCUCUGAAUGGGAUAAAUCCAGAAAUCACAGGUGAUAUGCCUUCCACAGUUAAAUGGGAGAGUAUUUAGAAAGAAAAUAGUUUUUCAAGGUGAAUGAGUUGGGCAAGAACUCACUGCAAAGAGAUUGAACCAUAAAUUCCUUUUUGCACAGCACAGGAGACCUUGAGCCCCAAAAGGCAGCUGAGUCUUUGGCAGAAUAAGCUUCUACAUUGCAGCAUAAUGACACCAACAUCAACGUCCUUGCACUAAGUGUGGUCAGAUGGCACCUCCCAGGAGGACACAUGGUAUGUUUUAGUGAAAAGCAAACAGUUGCCUGAAUAUGUGCUAGACACAAAUUACUGAAACUCUGAUGAUAUGGGCAAAAUGUUGCUAUUGCAAACACUAAGACCAGCAACUUCUCAGUGGAAUGGUGGUGGCCUUUUGAAGUGAAAUAUUCGUGACACACUGCUAUAACCUGAAACCAGCCUUGCUCAGGGCAAGCUUGACCAAGGCUAAGGAAAUUGUUCCAGGAGAAAAACAGUUAAAGUAGUCCAAAUAAAAUCUGUAAAGAACACUAAUAUUAUUUUGAA
rnacentral:lncRNA from 1 species